rnacentral:lncRNA from 1 species
CAUAUAAUGGGUUUUGCAGUUGGAUUCUUUAUUCUUCUUUUAGAGACUUGGAGGUCAAAUGUAGAGAUUUUGGAUGUUUGAUUGGGCCAACAUACCAUUCAUCUAUGUAACACAAUUUCCUAAAGGCCUGCUGACAUUAACCAUCCUAGAUUCCAGAUGAAUGCAUUUCUCUUCUCUUCUCUACAGUUUUGCCUAAGAGACAUUGGAAGACAAAUGUUUCUGUCACAGCCAGUAGUGGGACUGUCUCAACUCGUUUUCCUGUGAUGCCUGAAGACUCAUCUUGGAGGAGGCUGAGCAUUGAAGGAAGUGGGGCAGAAGUGCUGGGCAGCACAGGGACAGAGCUCAGGGCCAUCACCACCACGUGUUCAGGUUGACCAGAAUUACUGUAUUCCUGCCAGAUUCAGUUUGUGCCUGCUGCUCCUCAUUCAGCAUUUGAUUUCCUGAAGACACCAUGGCAAAGUCACUGUAUGAAAUAGGAAAUUUAGAACAGAGACAAGUAAGUUUUGCUCUAUUAUUUGAUGGGUCAUUGAUUUUGAUUAUAAUUUAACAGCAAA